CGGAUAUCUCGGCUCUUGCAUCGAUGAAGAACGUAGCGAAAUGCGAUACUUGGUGUGAAUUGCAGAAUCCCGUGAACCAUCGAGUCUUUGAACGCAAGUUGCGCCCGAAGCCAUUAGGCUAAGGGCACGCCUGCCUGGGUGUCG
rnacentral:rRNA from 1 species